AUGCGAGCAUCUCUUGAAAUCUUACAAUCGUAUCUUUUGUAGUAUCCUUAGAGCGAUUGCCCCCAAACCAUCUUAAAAAUCCAGACAUUUUAUCAAUUGUACAAUUUUAAAACAAAUCUAUCAAGUGUAAACCGAUAACAAAUCAGAAUUUGAGUUUUUCGUUAUAAUGGAAGUAAAGGCGCAAUAACGAGAUACUAAACGAAAAUUUCGAGACUUAUGAAUCGAAAUUUCCGCUAGAUAAGUUUACUGAUGAGAAUUUACUUAGACAGAAACCCUUUGGCUUCUCUAGGAUAAUGGAGUUGGUAGGUGGUAAUCAACCGUAUUUAACAAUUGUAUUCCACCAACUACACAAACGGUAGAAAAUUCGUAAUUUCUGCUGUAAAGCCGAAGAGACGUUGUUACAGCGUCAGAAAGCUAUUUUUGAUAUAGAAAUAAGCUUUCU